GAGAAACAGCUUCUUAAUGUAAUUUUCCCCAAUGGAACAGCGUAUUGUAUGGGACGCAGGAAUUCUGACCGUUAGUACUUGUCUACUCCGGAUUUCCCAGGGCCACUAACCAGCCAGCCAGAGUCAACCGUGGCCAUCCUGAUGAGGCAGCUUGACCAGCAGUUAUGGACCAGUUCUACGUGAGCAACUCUGUUUCUGCAAAGGGUGAGCGUGGCACUCUCGACCUGACACCAGGUUCUGUCAUUGAGGACUCACUGGGCAGCCCUUCUGGGGAUUCAGUGAAUGGAAUGAAAUCAGGUGGAAUUCAUGGGACAAUGCACGUCACUCCAGGACUAGAAGUUACUUACGUUAGCUUUGAAACACAUUCAAGUCAGACGUCCUGUGGUGGUCUGAGCAGAAAAGUUGUGCAGAUCUUCAGCCAGGAAGAUCUGUGACCAUCCUGUAUGUAAUUAGAUAUCUCAACGCCACACAGUCCUUCUUCAUCCCGGAAAAGGCAGCCUUUCAGCGUCUCGGUUGCCAGAGUGCCGUAUUCAACGAUUACAACCUCAUGUUUACCGGCUUUGCUAAGCAGCGGCUAUAGCAGCAAAGU
rnacentral:lncRNA from 1 species